CCCCUCUCAGGAUGGCACCUGGGGAUUUUCCAGUAAUCUACCAGUCUCAGCUAUGGAAGGGGGAGAGGACAGCAGAGGCAUACCCAUUCCAUUCCCAGCUUGGGCAGUGGCUAGUGAGUGGAAGCCGAUUUGCUACAAGU